rnacentral:rRNA from 1 species
GUGCCAGCAGCCGCGGUAAUACGAAGGGGGCGAGCGUUGUUAGGAUUUACUGGGCGUAAAGGGCGCGCAGGCGGCUUUGUUUGUCAGGCGUGAAAGCCCCGGGCUUAACCUGGGAACUGCGCUUGAGACGGCGAGGCUAGAGAUCGGGAGAGGAGAGUGGAAUUCCCAGUGUAGAGGUGAAAUUCGUAGAUAUUGGGAAGAACACCGGUGGCGAAGGCGGCUCUCUGGACCGACACUGACGCUGAGGCGCGAAAGCGUGGGGAGCAAACAGGAUUAGAUACCCUCGUAGUCC